rnacentral:lncRNA from 1 species
CUUACACCUAGAGGCUCUCGCUCUACGGCCGGAACCUUGUUGCUAGGGACCGGGCGGUUUGCGGCAACCGUGGGCACUGCUGAAUUUGAAUUGAGGGGCGAGGGAAAAGUUUUCCUCAGGUGUGGUGGGGAGAGGGAGGCGGAUGCCGGGAAACCGUAGGGACGCGGUCAGAAAGGCGACGGGCUGUCGGAGUUGGAAAGGUAAAGUUGGAGGCUCGGCGGCGUCCUGCCUCCGCGCUGGCCACACCCGCCGCGGCUGCCCGGGGCAGGGAGGGAUCUGGCUGAUUCUCCCUGUACCCUGUGCCCUCGGAGCUGCCCCUCCGAGCGCCCAGAGGUCCCCGCCUGCCUGCUUCCUGGAGGCAGGGCUACCAUCAGUCCCACGCCUCGCGUGUCCGCCCCCCGCACCCCGGGGCCAAGGAAAGGGAUCGCGGUCUGGACUCCCCGGGGAGUUCCCUUGAUGAGGGGAAGGGCAGGUUUGGGGACGGCGAGGACACGCGGCGACCGGAGAGAGGCUACCUGACCCGCGCAGCCCGGACUCCCUUCCCUUCCCUUCCAGGGACGCCUGGUUUCCCCCCAAGCGAACCGGGAUGGGAAGUGACUUCAAUGAGAUUGAACUUCAGCUGGAUUGAAAGAGAGGCUAGAAGUUCCGCUUGCCAGCAGCCUCCUUAGUAGAGCGGAAUGAGUAAUACCCACACGGUGCUUGUCUCACUUCCCCAUCCGCACCCGGCCCUCACCUGCUGUCACCUCGGCCUCCCACACCCGGUCCGCGCUCCCCGCCCUCUUCCUCGCGUAGAACCGUGGGAUCCUAGGUGGCAGGACUCAGAGCUAAGGUAUCCACAGGCCAUGAAUUCCUUCCUAAAUGAGCGGUCAUCGCCGUGCAGGACCUUAAGGCAAGAAGCAUCGGCUGACAGAUGUGAUCUCUGAACCUGAUAGAUUGCUGAUUUUAUCUUAUUUUAUCCUUGACUUGGUACAAGUUUUGGGAUUUCUGAAAAGACCAUACAGAUAACCACAAAUAUCAAGAAAGUCGUCUUCAGUAUUAAGUAGAAUUUAGAUUUAGGUUUCCUUCCUGCUUCCCACCUCCUUCGAAUAAGGAAACGUCUUUGGGACCAACUUUAUGGAAUAAAUAAGCUGAGCUGUAUUUCAAGUAAUAUAGUUAUAAAUUAACAAUGUAGCAGUUAUUGAUAGAGAAAUUGAGAAAACUGAAACGUGACCGGAGUAUUGGAAAUAACGUAGUACAUCACCUAGCACAAUGACACAUAGUAGGUGCUCAAUAAAUUUAUGCUUAUAAUUUUUGUCACUUCUAUGGCAGGAUUUUUUUAUUAGGUUAAAAUUAUCUUUUAAACACCUUCCGGAAUUUUAGAAUAUUCAUUAAUAAUGUCUUCAAACCUUUCAACUGAAAUAAAUUUACAGCUGAAGUCUGAUGAUUUAAAGUUAGAAAGUUUAAUCUUGAAUAUAAAUGAACAUUUUCUCUCCCACAUUUUCUUGGGCAUUUUGAGAAGUAAAUGCGUUAUUUAUUGGUCCAUGAAAUGUGACUGUAAAUAUUCUUUGCUAUACAUUAUGUCUAUAUAUCUGCAUUCAUCCUCAAUGCCAAAACUAGAAUCAUUAGUCUUAAUGAUCAUUUUAAGUACAGGCAGUCCUCGCUUUCCUUGAUACCAUGUUAACCGAAACUUGUGUAUGUCAACACGGUGUCCUUGCUUUGCUUGGUUAAGUGUGAGUUCUUCCUCCCUUUUUUUAAGAGUUGUACAAUGUUUUUCAGUCGCCUACCGAAUCAGGUCAUAGACUAUGGAAUUGACCCCACCCCACCAACAUUUUUACAGCUACCCUGAUUUCUGACCAGAAAGGAAAAAAAAACUUUCCAGCUCUAUCACACAUUUUACCUACUCUUAAACUUAGGAGGUAUUACAAAUAGCAUUUUCUCAUGUUCUCUUUCUGGCCUGUACCUCCCUGCUAAGCUUCCUUCAGUGUUCAUCCUCACCUCAUAGAGAGAUGAAGUGAAGAGACAAACAGAAGUCAUUUUCUUCCUUACUUUAGUGGUUUCUGGUUUAGUUAGUUUGGGCCAAACUGUGGACAAGUACCUUUUCAGGUAACUUUUUUUUCUUAUUUCUAUGUCCUCAACACCUAGUGGAGUACGUAGCCAAUAGUAGAUGCUUAAUAAACAUUUCUUAAAUUAAUAUUGUUGACCUUUUCUGACCCUGUUCUUGACAGUAAGGUACAUAAUCUGCCUUCAUCCCUUUAGUCCUUAGGAACAGAUAAAGUCAUGGAUAUGAAAGUGAUCACUGUCAUUAAUAUCCACAUUAAAAUUGCUCUUGAUUUUAGUUUCUCCAUAAUCAUUUUCCCUAAACAAUGAACUCUGUUCACCUUUUUUUUUAAAAUAUGCACAGUGAAUAUUACUGGUAGCCCAAAUCUUCUAACAUAAAAUUUCCAUUUUGUAAAAGCUUCUGAUAAGCAUAUAUGUUAUGAAUUGAAUGUUUGAUUAUUAUACUUUAAUAUUCUUGAAAAUAUUGAUACCUGGACUGGAAAGAAAACAGACAAAAGUAAAUCUCAGAAUAAAUUACUGCUUUAAACAUGAAAAAAAAAAAAAAAAAAAA